rnacentral:rRNA from 1 species
GAUGAACGCUAGCGGCAGGCUUAAUACAUGCAAGUCGUGGGGCAGCAUGAGUAGCAAUACUUGAUGGCGACCGGCAAACGGGUGAGGAACACGUACACAACCUUCCUUCAAGCGGGGAAUAGCCCAGAGAAAUUUGGAUUAAUACCCCAUAAUAUAUUUGAUAAGGCAUCUUAUUAAAUAUUAAAGCUUCGGCACUUGAUGAUGGGUGUGCGGCUGAUUAGAUAGUUGGCGGGGUAACGGCCCACCAAGUCUACGAUCAGUAGCUGAUGUGAGAGCAUGAUCAGCCACACGGGCACUGAGACACGGGCCCGACUCCUACGGGAGGCAGCAGUAAGGAAUAUUGGACAAUGGACGAAAGUCUGAUCCAGCCAUGCCGCGUGAAGGAUUAAGGUCCUCUGGAUUGUAAACUUCAUUUAUAUGGGACGAAAAAAGGGACAUUCUUGUUCACUUGACGGUACCAUAUGAAUAAGCACCGGCUAACUCCGUGCC